rnacentral:rRNA from 1 species
GGUUACUGCUACCGGUGUUCGCCUAAGCCAUGCGAGUCAUAUGUUCGUAAGAACAUGGCGUACUGCUCAGUAACACGUGGAUAACCUGCCCUUGGGUCCGGCAUAACCCCGGGAAACUGGGGAUAAUUCCGGAUAACGCACAUAUGCUGGAAUGCUUUAUGCGUAAAAUGGAUUCGUCUGCCCAAGGAUGGGUCUGCGGCCUAUCAGGUAGUAGUGGGUGUAAUGUACCUACUAGCCUACGACGGGUACGGGUUGUGAGAGCAAGAGCCCGGAGAUGGAUUCUGAGACAUGAAUCCAGGCCCUACGGGGCGCAGCAGGCGCGAAAACUUUACAAUGCGGGAAACCGUGAUAAGGGGACACCGAGUGCCAGCAUCCUAUGCUGGCUGUCCGGGUGUGUAAAAUACACCUGUUAGCAAGGGCCGGGCAAGACCGGUGCCAGCCGCCGCGGUAACACCGGCGGCCCGAGUGGUGAUCGUGAUUAUUGGGUCUAAAGGGUCCGUAGCCGGUUUGGUCAGUCCUCCGGGAAAUCUGACAGCUUAACUGUUAGGCUUUCGGAGGAUACUGCCAGACUUGGAACCGGGAGAGGUAAGAGGUACUACAGGGGUAGGAGUGAAAUCUUGUAAUCCCUGUGGGACCACCUGUGGCGAAGGCGUCUUACCAGAACGGGUUCGACGGUGAGGGACGAAAGCUGGGGGCACGAACCGGAUUAGAUACCCGGGUAGUCCCAGCCGUAAACGAUGCUCGCUAGGUGUCAGGCAUGGCGCGACCGUGUCUGGUGCCGCAGGGAAGCCGUGAAGCGAGCCACCUGGGAAGUACGGCCGCAAGGCUGAAACUUAA